UUAUUUAAUUUUAAAUAAUAAUUUAAUGUUUUUGGUUAUUUAGUAUUUAAAAGAAUUUUUUAUAAAAAAUUACUGUAAGGGAGGGUGAAAUAUAAUAAUUUUAAAAAUUAAAAAUCAGUAUUAUUACCUUUUGUAUUAGUGUUUAUUUAAUUUUUAUAAUUAUAUUGAAUUUUUACGAAAAAUUCAGAGCUAUUGUAUUAUAUUUUUUAUUGUUGAAUAAAUUAAUUGUUGAAUUAUAUAAUAGGGGUGACAGGCUAUACAUUUUAUUUUAUAUCUAAUUGUAUAAUUAAAAGUUUAGCUUUUAUUAUUUUUGUAAUUUUAUUUAACCUAUAUUAUUUUUGUCAUUUUAUUUAACUAUAUUUUUAUAGAAAUAAUUUAUUAAUUGGGGGUUUAUCUCUUAUUUUAUAUUAAAGUAUAAAUUCAUUUUAUAAAAUAAUAUAAACAAUAGGCCUAUAAAUAGCUAUUUAUUUUAGUUAGUUAUAUUUUAUUACAAAAUAAUAUUAUUUAAUUUUUAUUUUAUUAGUUAAUUUCUGUAUUAUAAAAUCAGUUUAAUAAUAUAAAUAAUGAUAAAAUUAGUAGUAAUUUUCUAAUAAAUUAAAAAAUUAAAAUUAAAAUUAAAUAAAUUCGGCAAAAAAAUUUCGGCUGUUUAACAAAAACAUUUCUUUUUGGUCUUAUAAUAAGUAAAGUCUGCCCACUGAUAAAUUUGAAGGGCCGCGGUAUUUUGACCGUGCAAAGGUAGCAUAAUCAUUAGUCUCUUAAUUAGAGAAUGGUAUGAAUGGCUAAACGUAGUUUUUCUUUAUUGUAUUUUUAGUAUGAAUUUGAAUUUAAAGUGAAAAUGCUUUAAUUAGUUAGGGGACGAUAAGACCCUAUAGAAUUUUAUUUAAUUAUUUAUUUUAUAUUAUUAGUUUAAUUUAAUUAUAUUAACUUAAAUUUAGUUGGGGCAAUUUUAGAAUAAAUUAAACUUCUUAAAUGUAUUAUUUUAUUAAAUUAAGUAACUUUUAAUAAAAAUUUAAUAACAAAUUACCUUAGGGAUAACAGCGUAAUUGAUUUAAAGAGCUCUUAUCGAUAAAUUAGUUUGCGACCUCGAUGUUGAAUUAAAAAUUUUUUAUAAAGCAGCUUUUAUAAAGUUAUAGUCUGUUCGACUAUUAAAUUUUUACAUGAUUUGAGUUCAAACCGGUGUGAGCCAGGUUGGUUUCUAUCUUUAAUAUAAAUAUUAUAUUUUUAGUACGAAAGGACCAUAUUAUUUUAAAACAAUUAAUU
rnacentral:rRNA from 1 species